CCUGGAGUCACUGGGCACCCCAGUCCAGCGACGGCUGCCUGACAGUCACUUGGCUGGAGAGCGUCAGCAGCGAUCAUGCUGUGCUGCUUUCCCAGGCCUCGAGGCCGCAGCACCAGGAGCCCGUGCAGGGAAAGCACUUGGGCGCGAGUGAGAGGUUGGAUGGCUAAGUCCCCGUGCUUCAGGCCACUCACCAGGAACUACCUGGCCUUCAGGGGCAGCACAGGGCGGGUCUCCCCAGACCCAGAGACCUGGGAAUCUGAGACGAGCGGGAGCCCAGGGCAGAUCUCCCUGGACCUGGACACCAGACUCUCGGGGCCACCGAGUCCAGGACAGGUCCAGUCAGGCCCGGCCACCACUAUGGGGACCCACAGCAGUACAAGAGGAGCCCAGGAGCGGCACAGACACCGGGCAGCACAGCGCUGCAGAGCUAAAGCCUGAGGAGAGGACCAGCUCCAGCCCCAGCUGAAGUCCCAUGUGUGGAGCCCGAGCCAGCUCCACCUGCAGCUUCCUGCCCAGCGGUGGGACCACAGCCAGAGUCCGUGGCAGCCCCUUCACCUGCUGCAGUGCUGGGGCACCUGGUGGUUGCACGGUGGUCGGUGUCACCUCCUGAGCUCCUCCUGGGGCCAGCUCCCGGGCCCCUCCCACUGUUCCCCUCAC
rnacentral:lncRNA from 1 species